ACCGAUUUCAAUUAUAUUACUUUGAAAAAGAUACUAAAUUAUUAUUACUAAUACUCUUUUAAUAUUUUGAUAAUCGUAUUAAACCAACAUAUCAGUUAUAUCGUAUCAGUCAGAUUAAAUAGUAUUCAUUCGUAAGUACUUCAUGAAAUUGACACGUGUAAAUAAAUCGAAAGAGUGUUAGUCAGGCUAUCGUUUUUUGCUGGUUGAACGAUAGUAAUUGUAUCCUGAAAAUUGCCGUGCAGUAACAAGCAGCGGGUGCAAUUUCACAGCCGUUGAGUGGUUCGAAAGGAGCCGUUUCAAACGAACCGUUUCUUUGGCAUUACUUUUAGCGGACCACUUUUUUCCAUUAUUUUCAUUCACGGUGUGUUAAAAGCAGUUAAUUUAUAGCAUGCGAAUUUCGAACGAAUAGAUAUAAUGUUCCCACUACGACAAGCGGAAUAGUUGUGAAUAAGUAGGAUAUAGAGAUAACCUUACCUAAAUUUACGUUGUAAGGUUAAUGACGUUAUUACCAUUUUCUUUUACAAUUAGAUCCUAUCAUUUAAUAUGUCCUUUCAAUUAAUAGCGUCUUCAUAAUGAUAAUCAUUUUUAUUUCGAUAAUUUCUGCAAAUUUACAGUUAUUACCAAGUAUCUAUAUCAAAUUAUCAAUAUUGCUCUGCGAUGAAAUAUGUAAGUAUUCAGAAUUGAUAGGAAUAUAUGCAAAUUUCGAUUGUUUAUAUGUACAUAUAUAUAUCUGCUUGCUCGUAUUCUCCGUGAAUUGAGCUUAUGCAAAUCAUGUUUACAGGGAAAUAGUGCUCCAAAAUAAUUCAAAUUAUGUAAAUGUGAAUAUUUAGUCAUGAAAGUGAAAAAAAGAGAAUGAGAGCUGCGUGAGAUACGUGAACGUCAUCGAUUGGAAGCAGUGCAAUUCGAUGCAAGGAACGUAUAAGAAGAAGUGGGUUUAUCGUGUGCUGAGCUCACAGCUUGAUCGCUACAUUUUUCCAAUUGCACUUUUAAUUAAUUCGGUGAAUUUCCAUCAGUCGAUCCAUUCAUUUAUGAUAUUAAUCAUUAAUACUGAAUGAAUUUUAAUACAGUACAAAUAAUAGAGCCAGAACCAUUUUUCACAAUUGAAAGUGAAAUUGCAAGCUUUUUAAGUUUAAUUUUUCAGUAUUAACUUUUAAAAGUUAUUAUCGGAAGAAAUUUAUGCUAUCAUAGAUGAAAGAUUCCACACCAUUAUAUUUUUUUAUUCUAGGAAUUAAUAAAGUUAAACAAAUUUAAUUAAAUCUUUUUAUUAUUAUUUAAUAAUAAGCAAACGAUAGGAAAGUUAUUAUUGUUAAUGGUUACAAAUAACAUCGUAAUAAUAUCGAAACAAAAUCUGGAUGGAAAGAAAUUUUACGAGUUGUAUAACAGUAAAAUGAGUUUAAUAAUGAAGCAAAUGAAUAUUUGCAAGUAAAUCUUACAAAUUACAAGUCAUUUAAUUAUUAUAUUUAAUCACAAAAAUAUAAUCACAAAAUAGAAAUCUAUCACUUGUAACUCUUUAAUUUAACUUGACAUAAUUUGUAACUUGUUAAUUUAUUAAUAUUAUUAUAUAGUUGAUGAAUUAUUGCGCGAAGGACGGUUCAUUUUCAUCUAUUCACGAUUCGGUAAAAAUUAUUAUUAGUAAUUUCUAUUACUUUCACCAACAAGACUAUAAUCAUAUACAAACUUUUCCUUUUUAACGAAAGAUAAAUAUCUUUGGAUUUUUAUUUAACAUAGUAACGGCAUUAUCCUUCAGUGAUUUUUUAAAAUUAUAACAAAAGUAUACUUGAGAGAACUCUUAAGAAAGAAAAUCUCUUAUUCUCAGUGUUAAAUUAUAAGGUCCAUUUCAUUUUGUCACCUGAAAAUACAUGUCUUUCUAUUUAUUAGUUAUUGUACAACCAAUAGCUGAAAGUAAUGUACAAGAGGGCCCAGAACUAUUUUCAAUGAUUAUAAAAGAAUUUCAAAGAGCUACGUUUAAAUACACUGAUCAUACUAUUCGUGCAAGGCUAUUAUAAAAAGAGGAGAAAGAAAGAAAUAAGAAAUAUGCAAUUGUUUUUCCACAACUAUUUGGUAACUAUGCAACAAUAACUGUAUAUGAUUCAUUCGCUAUCGGCUGACAAUGAGCUCAACAAGGUGACCCUGUUUCGUAGUUGCUAAUUCUACUGAUUCGUUCUCAAUGUAGCGAGGAACAGGAUUUAACUUCAAUGUUGUGUGGAGGUGUGAUCGAGGAACUAUUAUAUAACACGCUUUACGAUCGGUUCUUGCUAAAGAAUACAUUGCGAACUAAGGUUGUAAAUGUUAUAACGCGUCUAGAAAAAUGCAGAAGAGAACCCGGCCGUUCUCUAUUUUUGGAAGCAACGUGAGUUGGUUCCCGUUUCGUUCCCAUUAACUUUUAGUCAUCCACAAAAAGACGACGUUCUUUAGGUGUUCCGUUAUUGUACAUAGAAUUACGUAUUAGCGAUACUGCGAAAAACAUGUUCAUCUGAUUUGGUUUAUAUCUCUUUCUUCAUCCAAGAUUGUAUCACGACUAUUAUGCGAGCAUAUAUUUGUAUCCAGGAACAUUUUUCGAAAUACUUUAUCAUUUCCCGAUAUCGUUUUCUCAGAAAAUACGUUAUAUUGAAAAAAGAUUUCUUCCUUUGAUACCAGCGAUAUUUGAACAAUUUUAGUCACAGUUGUUAAAUACUGAAUAUCCUAAAUUAAGGUUCCUUUGGCUGAUAUCGAUAACAUGUCUCGAAUGAUUGACAAAUCGGCGACUCAUUAAUUCUCUGGCCCAAUUUUGGUUGCCUUUUUUAGGAUACGAUUGUCUUAGAGAUAACAAUUAUUUUUUUAAUUAAUAGCAUUCUUAUUAAAAAUUGAUCCCUUGAUAGUCACUUUGGUUAACAUAAUUAACCUUCUUAAAACUCUCGUAUUUCCUGCAUUUUGUUCAGAAAAAUUGAUCCUUAUUAAUUAGAUAUUAACGAUAAAGAUAUAUCCCUUCGAUUAGUUUCAUAAGCGAGGUACAAUGCACAGAAACAUGAAACCGAUUUUACGAAAAAUAAAUAUAUUUAUCGUUUAGAUAAUUUAAUAACUUAUUAAAGUAUAAUGUUGUAUAUACGUAAUGAUUGUAAAUUCAACACUUUCAACUGAGUUGAUAAAUAGUAAAGUAAGAAUAUGUAUAUACGUAGAUCUAAAUCUUAGUAUUGAAUAUUUAGAUCGACUAAUAUUUUUUACUUUAUUUACUCUACGACUUUAUUUAAUUGACGCAAUUCAGACGAUUAUAUCGCGUAACACAAGGUAUUUAACUGAUAAAUAAUAUCGUUCUACGAACUUAUUUAUUUUCGUAUCAGUUCCACAUAAACCGUUAUCACAUGCCAAAGUUAAAAUAGCGAAAUCACGAUUGCGUAUUUUUUCAGCAUCAUGAUUUGAAAGAUAUUCAUUGAUGAUGAUUUAUUUUAUUUGUAUAAUGAAUGAAAUAAUUCUUUAAUAGUAAUAGUAUCUGUAUGAUCUAUUAUGUAUAUAAUUUGAAUAACAAACAAUCUGAGUGAGUAAUUAUCAAACUGACGUCAUCUUGACAUUAAUGGUCAUUCCUUGAUAAAUAAACGGUUGUUGCAUAUGAAGUAGGAAAAGUGAGUUUGAUCACUGAAUAGCAGAAUAGUAGUUACAAUAUGCCUUUUAUAUUACUUAUUAAAAUACAUGUUCAGUGUUUUUCAGUUUUGAGUAUUUUCCACAUAUACACAUAGUUAUAUUGCAUAUAGUUUCAGUAGAUAAAUUUGUUAAUUUUUUUAAUUUAAAAUUUGUAAACGUGUUAUCGUGAUAUCGAUUACAAAUGUUUAUUAUAUCAUUUUCAACAUCAUGCAAUGAAUUUUAAAUUGUACAGACUAUAUAGAUUAUUCUAAUCAUUGCUUGUGUGAGAUCUAUGUGUAAGUAUAUCUUGAAAUACAGCGUAACGUUCAACGCACUGGAAAUUUUUUAUCUUGAACUGUAAACGUAAGAAAGUAGAUUUGAAAAAUAUAUUUGCUGAAAAAUAUUUGUAAAUAGUUACGUUCUCUGUUGCUCGAUAAAAGAUAUACGAAUGAUUUUUAUAUGUAGCGUGGGUAUAAAUUUAUGAUACAAGUAAAACAAGACAGACUGGAUAGAUAAAUAUAAAACGAAAAUAAAAAAUAACAAAAUUACGUUGGAGGUAUUUUUUUAAGAAAGUCAAAUUUAAGAGCUUAUCAAGUAUACAUAUACACGUGUAUUUGAACAAUUCUUAGAUAUACAGAAAUAGGCAAUUGACAAUAAGUUAUUUUAUAUACCAAUAUAAGAAAAAAGUGUAGAAUAACAGUUUCUCAUUGGAGCCUCAGGGUGCUUUGGUUUGACGAAAAUAAAGUUUCAAUGUGUUUGGCCAAGAAAUUUUCAAAUUUAAUUUUCUCGAAUACGAGACGUUAGAUAAAAAAAAGUUUUAUUCUAUAUUUUCGACAUAUCUUAGUAUGCAAAGUAUAGAGUAGCCUCCUGCCAAUUGUCUUUUUUUAUCCAGUUAGAAAUUAGUCAAAUACACGUUUACUUGCCAAGUUUUCAAUAUUCGAUGUUCUUAAAAAUAAAACCAACGCAAUUUUGUUAUUCCUGAUUUUCAUCUUGUUUUAAGUAAUAAAAUUUUCUUGAUUUUACCUGCGUACCAUGAAUUUAUACUCAUGGUAUAUGUAUUGACUAAAAAAGCAGUUAAUGAAAGGUAACUUAACAUAAAACUGCAUGCAGUUAAUCGUAUUACGAUUUGAAAUAAAAAGCUGACCUUGCAAAAAAAUACUCGUGAAGCAUAGUUUGCGUCGUGUAACUACGAAGAAACGAGCAGAGAUCAUUGGCCUCCGACGAACCGAGUAUCGCGUUCAGCGUGAUCUAUUCAUCUUGGACCCUCAUGGCGAAAUAAAUCGUCAUUGAUACUAAGUAAAUUAGUUCGAGAGCCGCAUGCAAAGUGCACGGAAAUUAUUAAUCAACAUAAUGCUUGUUUUCCAUAUGAACGCAUCUAUGUAAAUUAAUGUAUAUUCAUUUAUACAUAAGGUGUACAAGUGAUUAGUUUUGACAGUGGUAACUUCCUUUUUCAUUAUGGCUUAUGCUAUAGGGUUUAUUUUCAUUAAGCUUGUGUAGUUUAUUAUUGUGGAGUUCGUACUAACAUCUGUAUUCGAAAUAAUCGACUAAAUUUUUAGAAUAAGGAUGUCUGGAUAAUUAUAAUAAAAGUUAAUUUUGGGAAAUAAUUAGGAAGUAAUCAUAUUUUAAAGUCAAGAAAAGUUUUGAUCGUAUAAUGUUGAAAAGUAUUUAAGAUAACAUGUAACAGUUAGCGUUUUAAUGGAUCGCUCUCUGGAAAGACAAUCCCUGUUACAUCGCUCGAGAAAGAAAAGAUUAUUUAUGCGAAGAACACUCAUUUCUAUAAAUUUAUUCAGCGUGUAAAUGAAUUAACACUCGUUUCACAUUCGUUUUUAUGUCCAUGAUUUGUAUUGAAUCGGAAACAAUUCUUUCACGUUUAUUGCAAUUAAAAUAUUCCAACACAAAACUACAUUUUAACACUAUUCGUUUCUAGUCGCACUAUUUCAAAAUACAAUAUUCCAUUUGACAACAGAUGACAAGGAGAAAUAUAAGCGUCUUUAACCAAGUUAGAAAUAAAGUAGCAUCGAUGUCCGUAUCGUUGAAAACACAUGACAAAGUCAUUUUAUAAGAUUAAUCGUCAACGCUUGAAGAUCGACAAAUUGCUUCGUGUUUAUCACUUCUACGUGAGAAAUCAAGAUGAUUUUCUCGUACCUUCUUUUCAGAGUUGGAAUCGUCAUCGUACUAACUAUAAGUGAAGAUUUCCUAGUUGUACGUUUCUUCUCCAACAAACCUCUAAUUGCACGGUAUUUGGAAAUCUAGAUCUACCUGAUGCUGUAUUUUGUUAGCUGAGAAAAGAAAGAACUAACUGUUCGCAGUCUCCAUUCAUCUUCGCGCAAGAACAUCAGGUACCGUUGCGUCACUCAAGUUACAGUUAUGUCCAAGAAUGUAGUUUAAACGUGUUUUGUACGUACGUGUGUUCAAGUUUAAAUACCGUUACAUUAAUUGAUUUCCCUUAUCGCCAUUCUAACCCAUUUCCAUCUCUGUGAAAUAGUGGAUGAAAAAGGCAGAAGAAAGGAGAAAGUGAGUUCGCGUAUAAAAAAAAAUCUGUGAAGACAGUAGUCUCAUUGUAUCGGUUGGUGUUUCAUUGUUUUUUAAGAAGCGACGUGAACUAGAUUCGUACAACCUCUUGAUUAUUUCUGAGAUGUUGAAUUUUGCCAGCACUCUUGUUCUAGAUUUCUUCAAUUUGGUCAUUUGUGAACAGGUCCCUCUAAACUCUAAUUAGGGCUUGGAGGACCAAUUCAGCCAUUCAGGGAGUUGAUGAACUGUUUCUCCAUAAGUGUCGAAACAGCUACUACCUACGGUACAACUUGAAAGAAGAGUAAUUUGCUAUUGCGCAAAUGGAAAAUUUUAUACUAAUGAAAUGGAAAAGAUAAUUUCGAAGAGAGUAUAAUUAUUUUAACAUGGCAGUUUAAGAAUAACACAGUGUUAUAAGAAUUAUACAAGUUCAUAACGUUUGUUGUAAAUGUGUAAAUUUGUGUAUAAUAAGCGUAUUUUCCCUAUGCAUUAUAUAUUCUACCAAUGCGUUAACUGCUACGGGAGUCACUAAACAUUAGACUAUGAACAAUAUCCCAUGACUUUGACGCCAUGUCUGUAUUUCGAUUUUGCGAAUAAGAUGUAAUAAAAAUUUAUGUAAUGCACAACA